GUUAAGUGGACACGUGUUGGACAAGGGAAGUUAAUCUUAAGUCUACUGUCAAAUAAUGACAGAAAUUAGGGUACCUUUCAAUUAUCAGCAGCAAGGUGUGACCAAAUCCAAUUUCAGCACACUAAUUACUGUAUAUAGGACUGGGGCAGAUGGGAGGGGAACCUGCUGUGGAUCUGGAUUAAAACAGACUGACCUAGUUAAGAGGCAUGCCAGUCUGUUGACAUCAACUACAGAGAAUGUGCGCAUUGACCCUUAUAUCUGACUUGUGUUCUUAGAUCGGCAGAGCGUC